rnacentral:rRNA from 1 species
AUUGAACGCUGGCGGCAUGCCUUACACAUGCAAGUCGAACGGCAGCAUGGGAGCUUGCUCCUGAUGGCGAGUGGCGAACGGGUGAGUAAUGUAUCGGAACAUGCCCUGAAGUGGGGGAUAACGUAGCGAAAGUUACGCUAAUACCGCAUAUUCUGUGAGCAGGAAAGCAGGGGAUCGCAAGACCUUGCGCUUUAGGAGUGGCCGAUAUCGGAUUAGCUAGUUGGUGAGGUAAAGGCCCACCAAGGCAACGAUCCGUAGCGGGUCUGAGAGGAUGAUCCGCCACACUGGGACUGAGACACGGCCCAGACUCCUACGGGAGGCAGCAGUGGGGAAUUUUGGACAAUGGGCGCAAGCCUGAUCCAGCCAUGCCGCGUGAGUGAAGAAG